rnacentral:rRNA from 1 species
GACGAACGCUGGCGGCGUGCUUAACACAUGCAAGUCGAACGGAAAGGCCCUGCUUUUGUGGGGUGCUCGAGUGGCGAACGGGUGAGUAACACGUGAGUAACCUGCCCUUGACUUUGGGAUAACUUCAGGAAACUGGGGCUAAUACCGGAUAGGAGCUCCUGCUGCAUGGUGGGGGUUGGAAAGUUUCGGCGGUUGGGGAUGGACUCGCGGCCUAUCAGCUUGUUGGUGGGGUAGUGGCUUACCAAGGCUUUGACGGGUAGCCGGCCUGAGAGGGUGACCGGCCACAUUGGGACUGAGGUACGGCCCAGACUCCUACGGGAGGCAGCAGUGGGGAAUAUUGCACAAUGGGCGGAAGCCUGAUGCAGCGACGCCGCGUGCGGGAUGACGGCCUUCGGGUUGUAAACCGCUUUCGCCUGUGACGAAGCGUGAGUGACGGUAAUGGGUAAAGAAGCACCGGCUAACUACGUG